UACGUAGGGCGUAAGCGUUGUCCGGAAUCACUGGGCGUAAAGGGCGCGUAGGCGGCCUGGUAAGUAGGGGGUGAAAUCCUGCGGCUCAACCGCAGGGCUGCCUUCUAAACUGUCAGGCUGGAGCACGGUAGAGGCAGAUGGAAUUCCCGGUGUAGCGGUGGAAUGCGUAGAGAUCGGGAAGAACACCAGUGGCGAAGGCGGUCUGCUGGGCCGUUGCUGACGCUGAGGCGCGACAGCGUGGGGAGCAAACAGG
rnacentral:rRNA from 1 species